rnacentral:tRNA from 1 species
GGGGAUGUAGCUCAGUGGUAGAGCACUUGCCUAGCCUGUGGGAUGCCCUGGGUUCAAUCCCCAGCACCACAA